rnacentral:rRNA from 1 species
GACGAACGCUGGCGGCGUGCUUAACACAUGCAAGUCGAACGGGGUCCAACCAGUGGCAACACUGGGGAAGAUCUAGUGGCGAACGGGUGAGUAACACGUGAAGAACCCACCCCGAUCUCAGGAAUAACAGUGGGAAACCACUGCUAAUACCGGAUGUCCUCCAUGGGUCGCAUGGCCUGGGGAGGAAAGGGUUACCGGAUCGGGCGGGCUUCGCGGCCUAUCAGCUUGUUGGUGGGGUAAUGGCCUACCAAGGCGUCGACGGGUAGCUGGUCUGAGAGGAUGAUCAGCCACACUGGGACUGAGACACGGCCCAGACUCCUACGGGAGGCAGCAGUGGGGAAUCUUGCGCAAUGGGCGAAAGCCUGACGCAGCAACGCCGCGUGCGGGAUGAAGGCCCUCGGGUCGUAAACCGCUUUCAGCAGGAACGAAACUGACGGUACCUGCAGAAGAAGGUCCGGCUAACUACGUGCCAGCCGCCGCCGUAACAC